GUGUCUCAAGUGCGUAUCUGUGUUCAGCACAGAAUUGAUAAAACACAUACGAUCGGCGGUAAUCGAGUCAACGUAAUCAUUUUGUGAGAAGAAUCGUUGUCAGCUAUUCUUACCUCACGCUAAGGAUAUCUUAUCUUAUUUAUAGACUUUUACUGGUACUAAAGUACAAUAAAUUUGGAGUAAUAUGGUUGGAAUGACGCAAAGACCCUGGACACCAACAAAAAGACGAGGCCCGAUUGCCGCCGAAUAUAGCAGUCCAGGACCGGCCUGUGUAACUUUACCAUCGUUAAUAGGAAAAACAGUUACAGAUUCUAAACGAGGAAGAGCACCAGCAUUCUCCUUCGGCAGCAGGCAUGCAGCGAAAAAUAAUAGCUCUGGACCUGGCCCUGGGCAAUAUAAUGUCACUGGGCUUAGCGCAAAAGGAAAAGAUGCCGCACCAGCCGUGUCGCUAUAUGGUCGAACGAAAUCAACGAAACUCGAAAUCACACCAGCACCAGGCGAUUACAAUCCGUUAAAGGCGGAGAAGAUAAUUCUGGAUAGCUCACCGAAAUAUUCUUUUGGCGUUAAAACGCAAAUCGAGAAGAUCAGUUGUACACCCGCUCCAGGUACUUAUCGUCCCGAAAAAAUGAGAAUGGAUAAAGCACCGCAGUUCACGUUCGGACUUAGAACGUCGCUCGAUAUGCCGAGCGACACGCCAGCACCCGGAACAUACAGCCCAGAGAAAGUGAAUUUGGAGAAGGGUCCGCAGUACAGUUUAACCGGCAAAAGCCAAAUAGAGAAAUGCAACGGUACACCAGCGCCAGGUGCGUACUGUCCCGAGAAAGUAAAAUUGGACUCAUCACCGAAGUUCAGUUUUGGAUUAAAGCCUGCUGUGGAGAAACCGAACGAUACACCAGCACCAGGUACUUAUAGUCCAGAAAAAGUGAAUUUAGACAAAGGUCCGCAGUACAGUUUGAGUGGUAAAGGAUCCGCUGAAAAACCCUUAGAUACGCCAGCGCCUGGAACGUAUUCUCCGGAAAAAGUAAGAUUAGAUAAUACACCGCAAUAUAGUUUCGGAAUUAGACAUGCCCUGGAUAAACUCAGUGAUACACCAGCACCUGGAACUUACAGUCCAGAGAAAGUAAACUUAGAUAAAGGACCGCAAUAUAGUUUAACUGGCAAAGGGCCUGCAGAGAAAUUUAUUGAUACACCAGCGCCGAGUGCGUAUUCGCCCGAGAAGAUAAAAUUGGAUACUACGCCGAAAUACAGUUUUGGACUUAGAACUCCUCUAGAUAAACUCAGCGAUACACCAGCGCCUGGAACUUAUAGCCCAGAGAAGGUAAAUUUGGACAAAGGACCGCAAUACAGUUUAACUGGCAAAGGAUCCGUUUCAAAAGCUAAUGAUGUUCCUGCACCUGGCACAUAUAGCCCUGAAAAAGUAAAUUUGGACAAAGGACCGCAGUAUAGUUUAGCCGGAAAAGGAAUGCCGGAAAAAUUAAAUGACAAUCCAGGCCCUGCUGAUUAUAAACCAGAGAAAGCUCUAAAUCUGGAACAUAAACCUUAUUACAGUUUUGGUGAUAGAAAAACUUUGGAUAAACCUAAAGAUACACCAGGUCCAGCCGAUUAUACUCCAGAGAAAGUUCUAAGUCUAGAACAUAAACCAUAUUUCAGUUUUGGUAAUAGAAAACCCCUUCAUAAGUCCCGCGAUACACCAGGCCCUAAUAAAUACAAUCCAGAAAAAGUUCAACAUUUGGAACAUAAAUCUUAUUUUAGUUUCGGUAAUAGAAAGCCUUUGUAUAAGACUAACGAUACGCCAGCUCCCGGUACAUACAGUCCUGAAAAAAUAAACAUGUCUAAGUCGCCGGAAUAUAGUUUUGGCAUUAAAACUGAGAUUUGUGAGAAAAAUACUAUACCAGGUCCUGGCGAAUACAAUCCAGAAAAGACAAUGCUUUUGUUGGAAAAAGCGUUGCAAUUUACUUUCGGCCUUAGACCGCCCUUGCACAGAUCAAACGAUGUUCCAGCACCCAAUAUCUAUAACAUUCCUUCUGCCCUCGGCGGAACUAAAGAGGGUAAUAAGAAAGCAGCACCUGCCUAUUCAAUAUCCGGUAGGCAAAAAGUCUUUACGGACGACCGUGUUCUCGUACCUGGACCGGGUGCAUACGAGUGCAUUAAACCAGACACAAUCAGAGUGAAAAGUCCAGCAUAUAGCAUGAGUGCGCGUUUUUCCCUGCCCGACGAUCACUCGCAGAUCCCAGGACCUGGAGCACACUGCCCGGAAAAGUAACAACCCUACUUCUACGUCACGACUACGACAAUUACAUCUCGUCCUGUUUCGUUCUCUACCAUAGCCCUUAGAAUUGAAAAAUGUGCUUCUCGACAUUCCCCCUGCGCAUACAUUUGGCAUUAGGCAUUCACCUUAUAUUUGUAAUUUGAAGGAUGCAG